CCCGGCCGGCGACGGACAGGGCCGUCACCCCUCAGGGCCUCACCUUACGUCCUCCCAGGCACUGGAGUGGCCCAGGGUCUCUGAGGACCCCGACCCAGCGCGCCGCUGGGAGUGAGACCGCCUGCCGGGCUUCGCGCCACCCCCACCCCAGACUGGGGCACUGGAGGGAAGGCAGUUCUGACAGUCUGCCCUGGCUGUCCUGCCGGGCCCGAGUGUCCUGGGCCCCCAGGCCUGCUCUCCACACCACCUUUUCAGGCCCAGGAGGGCCCCCCUCACCCGCGUCCAUCACACUUUGCCUCCAGUGUAUCUGGGGGCCUGCAGGAGCAGCCCAGCACGGAUACUACCACCACCCUCCCAGGAGUCUGGUGAAGCCCCGAGCCAGCCGGCCUCCAACCAUCCCACUGCCCCAGGGAAGCGCGAGGUCAGCUCUGAGCCCCCAAGUUAACAGAUCACCCCAACAAACUAGGUUCUGGGAUUAGGUUCCUUUUACAGGCGGGGAGGAAGCCAAGGGAAAGGUGUUUGCGGGGGGGCCCCACGGCUACCACGUGGGGGUGGGGAUUCUGCCCUAAGCCUCUCCGUUAACGUUGCUAACCCUCCGUCCCAGAGGGGAGGGGAAGCGGCAGGCCGGCUAGUGCCUCAGUGUGCUCGACUGAGGGGCCGCGGAGCAGGAAGCACCUGGCCUGGAGCGGAUGCACAAGGCGCCUGGUUCCGGUCCGGCUUCCGCCACCGCGGCCCUGUGGGGAGCUCGGCCAGAGAAACCGGGCGGCGACGCGAGGCAGGACAGAACACUCCAGAUGGCAAUACUGACAGCACUUCGGUCGGGCAGGGACAAACAAACCUCCAGAUGCGUAGCGCUUCCCCAGGGAGUGAAACAAAAAAAGAUGCACAGAGGAACGCACGCUCCAGACACGCAGCUGGAGAGACGGACAGGGCCCCUAAGGCGGAUGGACAGACAGACCCGCAGGCAGCCUCCCGACUCAGACGAAUGGCAGU